rnacentral:tRNA from 2 species
ACGGGCGUAGCUCAAUUGGUAGAGUAGUGGUCUCCAAAACCAUUGGUUGCAGGUUCGAGUCCUGCCGCCCGUGCAA